GGAAAAAUGAUCUUUUAAGGAGUUUUUAAAAUGUUAGAGACAGUGAACAAGGACAACUGUGAGAGCAUGCCGGGUGUGGUGGCUGAUCACGCCACUCCCAGCACUUUGGGAGGCCAACGCGGGCAGAUCAUGAGGUCAACAGAUCGAGACCAUCCUGGCCAACAUGGUGAAACCCUGUCUCUACUAAAAUACAAAAAUCAGUAAUCCCAGCUACUCGGGAGGCUGAGACAGGAGAAUCGCUUGAACCCAGGAGGCAGAAGUUGCAGUGAGCUGAGAUUGUGCCGAGAUUGCGCCACUGCACUCCAGCCUGGUGACAGAGCGAGACUCCAUCUCAAAAA
rnacentral:lncRNA from 1 species